rnacentral:tRNA from 1 species
AGCGGGGUGGGGUAGCCAGGAAAUCCCGACGGGCCCAUAACCCGUAGAUCGGUGGUUCGAAUCCACCCCCCGCUA